GGAGAGGUGUCCGAGUGGACGAAGGAGUACGCCUGGAAAGCGUAUGAACGGGAAACCGUUCCGUGGGUUCGAAUCCCACCCUCUCCGCCA
rnacentral:tRNA from 1 species